CGAAAGAAUAACGAGGAGGCAGUCAAAGAGAGUCAUUCAGCUUCAGCUGAUGUUGAAACGCUCCAUUCCAGAGAAACUUGGCGACCUAGUUGUCUUUACAGUCGUGCUGAUGGGAACCGGGAGUUGUGAUAUCUGCACUCUGCUCGUAAACACGCUGUUCAGCAAGUGUGCUAGUAUUGAGCGAGUAUGAAGGGCCAAAGCUGGCUGAGGAGGAACUGGCUCUGGGCCGCUGGCGGAGCCUUCCUCAGCCUUCAUUUAGCGACGUGGAUCAUGCAGAAGGCCAUGAAGCAGUCCGUACGCACCGAACUGCAGCUUAAACAGAAAGGAGAGACCGAAGAGUAGCUCCAACCUACCUGGCUGCAGGGGCUUUUAUCGUUUGAUGGUGGUGUUGAUUUUUCAUGUAUAAAUGUUUCUAUUUUUUAAUGAUAUAAAACACUGUAAAUCACUGUGAUGUGAUUAUUUACAUCCUGAACAGACAAUAAAAUAUGAAGUCACUUGUAA